rnacentral:lncRNA from 1 species
CGGGCGGCCGGCGGGCUCGGCGCUCCCGGGCGCCCAGGGCGAGGCCGGGGCCAGGUCUCCCCGGGGCGCCCGCACGUGCCGACCCGGCCCUCGGCGGCGGGAACCGCGAGGCAGGGCUCCCCAGCCCGGCCUUACCGGGGCGGAGGCCAUGCAGGAGCGGGGGGGCGUCGGGGAAGGGCACGGGGCUGGGAGGGGGACCGUGCGGCACCCGGAACCGUCUGCGCAGAGCGGCAGCACCUGCCGGUCACUACAACAACGGCGGGCCAGGCGAAGCCCGCGCUCCAGGCGUGGCCAGACGAGCCCCGAGACGCGCCCGCGCGGGAGGCAGCCGGCCUCUGCGGGCGGCCGGGCAGCGCCGAGUCCGGUGCGGCCACACUCCGAAGCCAGUGCUCACUAACGCUAACGUCCCCGUCAGCGUCUGGCCAGGGAAGAGAUAAUAACCAGGCGCUAGCUGGCUCCUUGGAUGUGAAGCUAGGUGUUCCUCCUCAGUGGGGUGAGCCAAGCCUUCGCUCACACAGGCUUCAGGUCCUGAGUGUCCCUGCCUUCCGUGAGUCGCUGCUGUUUCCCAAAUUAUCUCAGAGGCACCCUUGCUGAAUAUUCGAAAGCUUCCAUCUGAAUUUUUCAAGACAGUGCUCAUGGACUUCCGAACAGAAUUGAAGGUGUAGACUUUAUACAGUGCUUCUUCUGGUAUUUCAUUUCUAACAUCCUGAUAAUCCCGUUUUAAAUCCAAAAGAAAUCCCAACAAGGCACAUUCAGUUUUAUUACCAACAUGACGAGGUAAUCCACCCUCCUUCUCUGGUGGCUGUAAGAAAGAAAAACUUUAGAAGCCAGUACCACGGUGUUUCCCUACAAAAGUUUUAUAAUGUGAAAUGGAAAGUGAUACUGUAAAACAAUUUUAUAAUGUAGUAAAUGUCUACUAAUACCAGCAUUUUAAAGAAGAUAUAGAAACAAAGACAUAGAAAGGAACCUGGGGGUAAGAAUGACACAAAUUCCAAUCUCAGUCCUGCUAGUCACUAGUUAUGUGGACCUCUGGCAAGUUACCCAACUGCUGUGGUCCUUGGCUUCAGCAUCUGUAAACCAGGUACAAUCAUGACCCAAACAUAAUGAGAUGGAUAAAGUUCAUCGUUGGCUUCUGAUACACAGUGAAACUUAAAUUUAACAUCUUUCUUUUUUCUCUUUUUGUUUUCAUUGACCAUUUAUAUUACAUAAUUAAAAAUAAAAUCUAAUUUACCAAUCUACUUUUAUGGCUUUAUAAAGUACUGUUGGCUUAAUUUAAAAAUGCUUUAGUAUCUCUAUAGUGCCUGAACAAACUCUGCCUUAUAUAUGCAUAACAACAGUAUUAAAGCAGAUAUGCUCACUUCUAUUUAGUAAAGAAAGUUGUAUCUUAGAUUUGGAGCUAGUAAAAGGCAAACCGAGCUCUACGAUUAAGAUCUCAAACUUUCCAGUCCAUUCAUCCAAUUCAUGUAUGUUUUCACUAAUUAAACAACUUGCAAUAUCUUUUGUGGUUUUCAUAUAUAAAUCACAAGAAGAUAUAGUCAAACAUAAACUUUGUCCUUUCUCUUACAAGUAAGAUUUGUAAAGCUUGUAAAGGUGAAAAUAUUCAGGCACAAGUCUAUAAUUAUUAGUUCCAAAAAGGUCUAAGGACAACCUUAUAGGUAAAAAUUAUUGAGAAUCCAAACAGAGCCCACAGCAAGCAUACAUAAAAGAUGUUAUUUUAAGUUGAAAUCUGGCUUCAAAGUUUUCUGUAAAAACAAAAACCUGAGGGCUUACUUCCUAUACAGCCUGGUAAUUCAUAAAAUGAGCUUAACAAAAAUUUACCAUUAAGAAUGUGUUCUAGUUAUAAGGCUUUAUAUUUUAUACAUAGAAGAAAUUCAAAAUGCAGAAAGAUACAAUACAAUGUGUACCUCAAUUAACAGAUCUUACUAUACUAUAAAUAUACUAAAGGCAUACACAUUUUAUGAAUAUGUCUUAAAUUACAUUAAUAGAAUUCAGUUCAAUUCAUAUAUAAACAUAAUAGAUGUGAAGGAAUACAUGUAAUUGAAUCAUUACAGUUAAAAAUUAACGUUCAUUAUAUAAAUGAAUUAUUAAAGAAACCUUACCAAUAUUUUUGAUGUAUAAGCACAAUUCACAGAAAUUCCUGUCACAAGAUAGGACAAAAUAUUUGGUGGAAUAGCUUCUGGUUCAGGAACCUUUUUAUAAUGUUUUUCAUUUAUGUAAGCUUGAACAACUGUCAUUCUGUUCAUUGUCAAUGUUCCUGUCUUAUCUGAACAAAUAGCUGUAGCAUUUCCCAUGGUUUCACAAGCAUCCAGAUGCCUUACUAAGUUAUUAUCUUUCAUCAUUUUCUGCAGUGACCAAAACAAAACAAAACAAAAACUGAGUUAAGGUACAUAUAAAACUAAUCACCUGAUUACAGUAAAAUGAUAUAAUCAGAAAUAAAACUUCCUGCCUUAUAUAAAAGUACUGAUUUAAUACUGGGAAAAUUUUAGCAUAUUUGACCUAGUCGAAUCAACUGAAGAGUACUAACUUUUCUGUGGCUUACAUCACUCUGAAUAAGACAGUCUCAUGAAUACAAAUACCUGCACCUAUAUACAAAACUAUAUUGACUAUAUUCCUCCAACAGGCUCAGGCAAGUGUCCUCACAUUAUAAGAACAAUUAGACUCUGUACCAUAAAUACAACGGUACUUACAGUAGUGUAAGAAAAAGGACUA